AAAGGGCUAAUAUUGACCUUAAAAUAGUUUUUAAAAAAUUAAAAACUGCUUUUCUUCUAGCUGAAAUAAAACAAAUAAGACUUUCUCCAGAAGAAAAAAUAUUAUCAGACAUACUGUGAAAAUUUCCUGAAUCUGUUAAACAUCAUUUGGGAAAUAUUUGCUAAAAAGGAUGAAAAAUUCACAGGAGGGCGAAUACUUCUGACUUCAACUGUAUAUGUCUGUGUGUGUGUGUGUGUGUGUGUGCAGGUGCCCACAGGAGAGUGGAGCGGGACUCUAGGUAAAGCAGGCGCCGCGGGUGAGAUCCCCUGCAGACGGAUGCGCAGCGGCAGCUACGUCAAAGCCAUGGGUGACACUGAGGACAGCGAGGACUCUGACGGGCCUCCUUCACCCAAACCCUCGCCCAAAAGCGCAGCCAGACGCCAGAGUUACCUAAAGGCCACGCAGCACUCGCUCAGCGAACAACAGCCGCCGCUUCCGCCACGCAACUGUAUGCCGUCUCUGUGCGAGGUGCCAACCAACCGCAGCCUGGACAACCUGGACUGUCUAAUGGGCCCCGGGGAUGCAGCUCUGCAGCACUGGGAUGUUGAUGGGGGAUUCAGUCAGCGCUGCGCCACACUGGGAAGAGGAUCUAUCAUGAGCCAGGUGGAGCAGUGCUUCAUGGCCAGCGCUGCUUACGGACAGUUGGAGUCUCAGGCGGUGGAGGCUCUGGAUCUUCCCACUCCCACCUGCUUCCGGUCCAGGAGCCACAGUUACCUGAGGGCCAUCCAGGCCGGCUGCUCGCAGGAUGAGGACACUGGAUCUGUGGAUUCAGACGAGACGCCGCCUAUCACCUCCUCCAUCAGCAGCUGCAACAGCGUCACCGGUGAGUGCCGAACACACUCGAUCCACAUGAACACGGGCAGGAAAACAUAUGGAGCUUAUUAUGUGCCAAAACAGUCAGUGUUAGUUUGAAUUAAAAACAAUUGUGAUUUAAUAAAACUGAAUAUUAUAUCCCAUUAUAAAUGGUUAAAUUUCUUAAUUUGAACUUGAAUAUCUGAAAUUUAAGCUUACUGAAUUUUUUAAAGCAGAUUCAUAGACUGCUCCAGUUUGUAAAAAUACAUUUAUUUGUCAUUUUCCUUUGGCUUAGUCCCUUAUUUAUUAGGGGUCGCCACAGCAGAAUGAACCACCAACUAUUCCAGCAUAUGUUUCACACAGCGAAUGUGUUUUCCCAGUGACGGGUUUGUGACCGGAAGGGCAUCCGCUGUGUACAUAUGCUGGAUAAGUUGGCGGUUCAUUCCACUGUGGCGAUCAGUGAUUAAUAAAGGGACUCAGCUGAAAAGAAAAUGAAUGAAUAAAUGAAUGUUUGAUCAUUUUUUCUGAUAUCUCGGUAUAUGUAUGUGUGCAUACAUGUACACAGACACCAUGAGCACUGAUAACAGGCACAAAGUCCACAACAAGCUGCUAUAAACCUCUCUUGAUAAGCACGGCUCUCGUGGACUUUUCAUGAUGUCAUUUUAUUGCCUCAAAGGUGAUGUCAGUGCAACCAAACGCCUGUUUUUCUGUGUCGGUCAUAAAGAUGUUAAAGGUGUGAAGUCGGAUCUUUUCCCUCUGAGAGCUCGGCAUGUGGGCAAGUCCAGACAGAUGAUCUGCAGGCAGAAAAGUGGCUCACUCUCAGAUCCUUACAAGGAGAUAUAAAUAAAAAUUUAAAUCCUGUCAUCAUUUUCUGACCCUUCAAAUCUAAAAGAUCUUAUGUAAACAGAUUUGUUUAAGUACUAUGGUCAUUCCGGAGAUAAAUAUAAUCAUGAUCAAUUAAUGUGGUCAAUAUUAUGAAAGUUUAUUAUUAUUAUUAUUAUUAUUAUUCAUUUUCCUUCGGCUUAGUCCCUUUAUUCAUCAGGGGUCACCACAGCGGAAUAAACCGCCAACUAUUCCAGCACAUGUUUUACACGCAGAUGCCCUUCCAGCCCAAAGACAGUACUGGGAAACACCCUUACACUCAUUCUCACACACACACACACACACACACACACACACACACACACACACACACACACACACACACACACACACACACUCAUAGGCCAAUGUAGUUUCUUCAAUUGACCUAUAGCGCAUUUGUUUUGACUGUGGGGAAAACCGGAGCACCCGGAGGAAACCCAUGCCAACACAGGGAGAACAUGAUAAAAAACACACAUAAGUGAAUUAAUAGUAAAUAUAAUAAAAAUAAAUGAAAUAUUUUUUAUUAUUUAUUAAAUCAAUUAAUUAAUGAAUAAACAAUAAAUUCUUUGGUAAGAAUAAAUGUAAAAAAUAUAAAUAGACAAAAGUUC
ensembl:lincRNA